rnacentral:rRNA from 1 species
UACGUAGGUGGCAAGCGUUGUCCGGAUUUACUGGGCGUAAAGAGCGCGCAGGCGGUCGGAUAAGUCGAAUGUGAAAGCCCCCGGCUCAACUGGGGAGGGUCAUUCGAUACUGUUCGACUCGAAGGCAGGAGAGGGAAGUGGAAUUCCCGGUGUAGUGGUGAAAUGCGUAGAGAUCGGCAGGAACACCCAGGGGGAAACCAGCCGACUGGGCAUCGACUGACGCUGAGGUGCGAGAGCGUGGGGAGCGAACCGG